GCCUAACACAUGCAAGUCGAACGGCAGCACAGUAAGAGCUUGCUCUUAUGGGUGGCGAGUGGCGGACGGGUGAGGAAUACAUNGGAAUCUACUUUUUCGUGGGGGAUAACGUAGGGAAACUUACGCUAAUACCGCAUACGACCUACGGGUGAAAGCAGGGGAUCUUCGGACCUUGCGCGAUUGAAUGAGCCGAUGUCGGAUUAGCUAGUUGGCGGGGUAAAGGCCCACCAAGGCGACGAUCCGUAGCUGGUCUGAGAGGAUGAUCAGCCACACUGGAACUGAGACACGGUCCAGACUCCUACGGGAGGCAGCAGUGGGGAAUAUUGGACAAUGGGCGCAAGCCUGAUCCAGCCAUACCGCGUGGGUGAAGAAGGCCUUCGGGUUGUAAAGCCCUUUUGUUGGGAAAGAAAUCCAGCCGGCUAAUACCUGGUUGGGAUGACGGUACCCAAAGAAUAAGCACCGGCUAACUUCGUGCCAGCAGCCGCGGUAAUACGAAGGGUGCAAGCGUUACUCGGAAUUACUGGGCCGUAAAGCGUGCGUAGGUGGUC
rnacentral:rRNA from 1 species